rnacentral:rRNA from 1 species
UCGCGAGAGCAAGCGGACCUCAUAAAGUGCGUCGUAGUCCGGAUUGGAGUCUGCAACUCGACUCCAUGAAGUCGGAAUCGCUAGUAAUCGUGGAUCAGAAUGCCACGGUGAAUACGUUCCCGGGCCUUGUACACACCGCCCGUCACACCAUGGGAGUGGGUUGCAAAAGAAGUAGGUAGCUUAACCUUCGGGAGGGCGCUUACCACUUUGUGAUUCAUGACUGGGGUGAAGUCGUAACAAGGUAACCGUAGGGGAACCUGCGGUUGGAUCACCUCCUUACCUUAAAGAA